AUCCAGCUGACGAAUCCAAAAUAAGACGAAACGCGCGUCCUGGAU
rnacentral:hammerhead_ribozyme from 1 species